UCUUCAUGAUCGCAACUGCCAGAGAGCUAGCUCUGACUGCUGCAGUUUUCCAGUCGCAGUGCGGCAAAGCAGACGCUGCAGCAGCCCACAAAGCUGCAAUGGGAUUAGUUUCACCUGUGCCGCCGGUCUGAUGGGAGGAAAAUAUUAUCGGGAGCGGAAUAGGAAAAGAAACUGCCUGCUGGAUUUACAGGUUAAUUUUCCUGGCAUGCAGUGCUUGCAGUUAAGCAGAGGGACCAUGCAAGAGGUCUGUGUCCACAAUGUGGCACGAGAGCCUAGGAUAAAGGAUGCCUUACCUCCCUGGCUCUUUAUAAAUAUUCCCUGUACCAUGCCGACAUACCUGCAAGGGCGAGACAAAAGGAUACAGUACUUUUCAUCUACCGUCUGAUCAAGGCCUUUUUGUUUUGCAAACCUCGCAGCCUGAUGUUCCAGUUUUAACUGAGAUCAGGGAUCACAAUAAUAACACGGACUGACAACAGUUUCUGCCUCUUGCUUAGCACAAAACUCAAAUUAGAGGCCAGGCUUGCUGACCUACUUCCCUUCAAAUCAUUGGUGGAUGCAGGGCAGCAGCUAUCUUGCACCAAGCAUCACUGGCCAUUGUGUGGAGAAUCCCAGGGAAUGCAGUGUCUGACUGCUGGAGCCUGUGGAAAAUGGAGUUACUCACAGUUACACUAUCUACUGCAGUUUUAAGCAGCUAUAAAACCCCAGACCAUCUGAUUUUCAGUGUGGCUCUGCGGCAGCGUUUGGAUUAAAAUGUCUUUUAAUACCUGUCUUUAUCUGAGCUUCAACUACCGGAAUUAGUAUAUUAAUCUGCUCAUUCUACCUGAAGGAUUUAACAGAAUAAAUGGGAUGCUGCUGAGGGAAAGAAAUUAUACCAGGAUAACAAGAAGAAGCAGUGUAUCAUCACCUGGAAUGCAACCGUUCGCUUGACUCUGUAACCCUGAUUGUAUCUUUGCAUAUUUCUGUCUCAAGUUCAGAAGCUCCAGCCAAGGCCAGGAUGUCUUAUCUAAUGAGCCAAAAAAAAUUACAGUCAGUGAUGGUUGCAUUAGGAGACAGUAGCACGUUUAUGUUGCUGCCAAUUUGAUGCAUAUCAGCAUAGCCCCUCAAGGGACAGUUCUACAAAGGGGGACAGAGGAUUGCUAUUGAAGGAAUCAAAAAAAAAAUGUAAGUCUCAUGGAGAGUCUGCAGUGCAAAAUGCCACAGAAACCCUUCGCACAUAGCAAUUCCAGCAGACACUUGCAACUGAAUAAUUCAUGGAUUAAAUCAUCCCGGAUUCACCUUUUUGGAUAGGUUGGUAUGAUUGGAAUUUUGUAUAUAUGUAGAAAAAUUCAUACAUAAAUUUUCAAUUUGGAUCUGACAGGCUGUCAAAAUGUGGGUGCUUUGUAUGCAAAAAUAUCCUUCUAAUCAUGUGGUAAUAAGACUGCGAGGAUUGCACUUCCAUCAUGAGGCUGUAUUCAGUGAAAGUUCAGCAUAUUAAUGAUGAUAGAAGCAAAUUCAUAAUCUUGAUGGCUUUUACCUUUACUCUGUUUUUCCCCAUUUAAUUGUACUGCUUCGGAACUCCGCAUAAUUUGGAAAUCUUAUCCAUUUUUCAAAGCUGUUGCUAUGUCAGGAUCAACUCUCCUCUUCGGUAAUACGUAAGCCCUCUUCUGAUAUUGUGUCGGUGUAAGUCAAGUACACAGAGCUACGCAGUUUAAAUGCAGUGACUUUAACCCAAUGGCUGAUUCUGAGCCAAAAAUAAAGAUCCUUAAAAAGACCGGAGCACAGCGUUCACUUCAGCACUCAGUGCAGACUGUAUUGCUGAUUCCAUUGUUCCCGGGGAAUCCCACUUAUAUGUAUGCGCAGAGGAUGAGGACUAUGUAGAUGGCAAAGAAGACUAUCAAGCUGUGCAGGUUUUGCCCGUUUUCUAACCUUCCAGAACUACAGUCCUGGCAAUUUUCAUUGAGAGAAGUGUUAAUUGAAAUCAGCAUUUGUAGAAUCGUCUACAAAAUAUACUCACACCUGUCUAGAAAGCUCCUGGUUCGUAAUUUAUCAUCAUAAAAGCUAUAUAGAAGUCACGGACAGAAAAUGAAAACAAUUACUAACAUAACGAAUUCAGCUUUGUUGAAAGAUGGUCUUGUAGAUCUGUCAGAUUACUUCAGCACUGUUCAUCUACCACCAGUAAAACAUCAUAAACUAGACAGCCAAGAAGUUUAUCUGGCCACGCAGCAGCAAUUCGGAAGCAGGAGAUGAACCUUUAAGGCAUCCUGUCACUCAGUUCAUCAGUAAUGGCCAAUGGCAGAGGUUAGCCGAGAUCUGAGAGCUUCUUCUGGUAAAGGGUGAGCUGGAACCUACAGAGGAAACAAAUGCAACCAUGGUCCCAGGUCCUGAGGCAACAAGUUCAGAUGAGAAUUCUAAUGGAGCUCUCUACAGUCAGAUACGCAUUGUGAAACUCUUGGUACACUUUCAAACCCAAAUGAAGAUAUGCAUGAGAUAUCAUAGGGUGAGGAGUACAGCAACAACCCGCCAUACAGCCGGGAGCCAAUUAGUGUGAACCAACAGGUUGUUGAGUGUACUAGAGAAAAGAGGUUUAGCAGCAUUGUGGGAGGGAGCAUAGCUGUGGCAGAAUGGAGCCCUCAUGGGCUGUCAAGCAUUCUGCUCUAUCAUAGGCCAGCAUGGUAACAUAGUGGUUAGCACAGCGCAUUGCAGUACCCGCGGCCCGGGAUAGUUCCUGCCACUUCCUCUGAGGAGUUGGCACUUUCUCCCCAUGGUCGGGUGGGUUUCCUCCGGGUGCUCCGGUUUCCUCCCACAGUCAAAGGUGUACCAGUCAGUAGAUUAAUUGGUCAUUAUAAAUUGUUCCAUGAUUAGGCUAGGGUUAAAUUGAAGGAUUGCUGGAGAGGGCAGCUCAAAGGGCCGGAGGAGCCUUUUCUGCACUGUAUCUUAAUAAGUAAAUAAAUCCAUUUUUGAGUCUGAACCCAUCCAUAGUGUCAUUUCAACUGUUUGGAAGAUCUCACCUUAUCCUCUCCCCUCACCGCGCGCGCGCGCACACACACACACACACACACACACACACACACACACACGCGCGCGCACACACACACACACACACACACAGCCUGUGUCAUACCUUUCAUUUACUGACCGUUACUGACCGCCUACCUAAUAAAUAGUUAUCCAUGAACAACCAAGUAUAAUUAUAUAGUAAUCUAAAAAUUAAUUUAUACUAUUAGAUGAGUGUCAUGCAGCAUGCCAAGGGGUGUUUCAGUUGUAGGCUUGUUGUUACAACAUUCUGAGACAAGACCCUAGGUGUUACUGAUGGAUUGUUUUGUCGAGAAAGAAAGGAAAAUUCUGAUUCUGGAACUGGGGGUAAGGGGUAUGGGUCUAGGAGUUUUAAAGAGAGAGAGAGAGAGAUGACCAUCAGUCAAGGCCCAAAUGAAACUAUGAUAGUGGAGGUAGUGGCAGGAGACCAAACCCAGAGAUGGAAAUCCAAGCCUGGGGAUAUGCCAGAGAGGUCGGGGUGGGGGGGCGGGUUUCAAAAUCGGGACCAGGGAAUUUGUCAGGAUAUCAUGGCAAUAUGAGAGGCAAUAUUGACAACCCCCCACACCCCAGCCCCCAAGGAGAAGAAGCAAAUUUUUAAAAAUCCUACCCAGGUUGAGUUCCCAGAACUGGGUUAUAACAAAAGUCAACACAAGCCAUUAGCAGCGGGUUGUAGUCUCCCAAGGAAAUCCCUCUUAAACAGAGGCAGCAUUGCUGUGAUAGUAUGAGAGUUCAGAGUGUAACCAAUGACAAGUAUUUCCUUGCCACACUGUGACCUAUCUCCCCAGGCUUAACACAGGGAAUGACAUUUGAUAUGGAAAUCACGUUAUUCAUCCAAGAUUAAAUUAUCCUGUGACUUUUCUGCAGUGGUGCUGUUCAGCUCAGAAAUGGCUGCAAUUGCAUACCAUUCCAAAAGCAAUCUUCACUGAAAAACAUUUUUGUGCAAUUACAUUUCUAGCCCAAGACAUCCAAGGCAAAUUGAGUAUAGUUUCUCUGCUUUUAAAAUAGUAAAAAAAAUCUGAAUGCAGUUCACAAGAGGCUGGCAAUUUAAACUGACUUGUCAAUCUGUUGGCUGACACAAAUACAUACUAAAUGACCCAUCUUUUAUUAGUUACCUUUCUAAGAAAGCACAGCUGCUUGUAAACACAGGUGUCUGCCUCUGAGCAGGUCAUAAUAGAGAAAGAGGAGCAGUAAAUGUUUUAAAUCAGGCUUGCCUGAAGAAAGGCUUUAGAUACAUAUACAGCUUGUUCAAAAGUACUCGGAAUAAAGAAAUGUACAAAUCGUUUCAGCAUGAAAAAGGUGUGGCCUUUGAUUCAAACAACUUAUUGUUAAUUCAUUGUCUGACAUAAUUAUAUACCAAGAUUACUAAGAAACUGAACAGCUCCAUAGUCUUCUCUUUUGCCAAGAUGAGGCCACCCUCAGGGUGGGGGAGCAACACCUCAUAUUCCGUCUGGGUAGCCUCCAACCUGUUGGUAUGAAUAUCGAUUUCUCCUUCCAGUUAAAAAAUAAUCUCUCUCCAUUCCCUCUUCUAUUUCCUCACUCUGGCCUUUUACCUCUACUCAACUUCUUAUCACUUCCCCCUGGGUCCCCUCCUCAUUCUCUUUCUCCCACGGUGCACUCUCCUCUCCUAUCAGAUUCCUUUUUCUCCAGUCCUUUUCCUUUCCCUCUCACUGGGCUUCACCUAUCACCUCCUGCUAACCUCCUUCCCCUCCCCCUACCUUUUUUUAUUCUGGCGUCUUCCCCCUUCCAUUUCAGUCCUGAAGAAGAGCCUCGGCCCAAAACGUUGACGGUUAAUUCCUUUCCAUAGAUGCUGCUUGACCUGCUGAGUUCCUCCAACAUUUUCUGUGUGCAGCCUAGACCUUGGAUUGCAUAGAUCAACAUUUUGUGUGCUACUUGGUUAAAACUGAAAAUUGAGGUGUAUGGAAAAUAAGAAGACUUUCCUUUCCCAUAAUCACCCACCAGUGAC